UCCGUAGGCGGUGCGGCAAGUCGGAAGUGAAAUCUCAGGGCUUAACCCUGAGGCUGCUUCCGAAACUGCCGUGCUCGAGUGCGAGAGAGGCAAGUGGAAUUGCAGGUGUAGCGGUGAAAUGCGUAGAUAUCUGCAGGAACAUCCGAGGCGAAAGCGGCUCGCUGGAUCGCAACUGACGCUGAGGGACGAAAGCUAGGGGAGCAAACAGGAUUAGAUACCCUGGUAGUCCUAGCCCUAAACGAUCAGGACUGGGCGUGGGCCUCGUACGGGGCUCGUGCCGCAGCUAACGCGUUAAGUCCUGCGCCUGGGGAGUACGGUCGCAAGGCUGAA
rnacentral:rRNA from 1 species